rnacentral:rRNA from 1 species
GAUGAACGCUGGCUACAGGCCUAACACAUGCAAGUCGAGGGGCAGCAUGGACUUAGCUUGCUAAGUUUGAUGGCGACCGGCGCACGGGUGAGUAACACGUGAGCAACCUGCCUUUCAGAGGGGGACAACAGUUGGAAACGACUGCUAAUACCGCAUAACGUCGUUUGAAGGCAUCUUCGGACGACCAAAGGAGCAAUCCGCUGAAAGAUGGGCUCGCGUCUGAUUAGAUAGUUGGUGAGGUAACGGCCCACCAAGUCGACGAUCAGUAGCCGGACUGAGAGGUUGAACGGCCACAUUGGGACUGAGACACGGCCCAGACUCCUACGGGAGGCAGCAGUGGGGAAUCUUCCGCAAUGGGCGAAAGCCUGACCCAGCAACGCCGCGUGAAGGAAGAAGGUCUUCGGAUUGUAAACUGCUUUUAUACGGGGAUAAAGUGAGCCACGUGUGGCUUAUUGCAGGUACCGUAUGAAUAAGGACCGGCUAAUUCCGUGCCAGCAG